CCCCAUCCUGCUGGAAACUGUAGCACUUUUCUGGAGAAUAUUUAAAACAUGCCAUAGAUGGCGGGCUGUGGUGGGUUAGAAGGAUUGUUAAUAUUCUAGGGGCAAACUAUAUAAUCCCAAGACAUGGACCAAUUUGAAAUGUUCUUGGUACAGCACACUGUACAGUAUGAUCCACCUGUAAUGAACAAUUUCCACAUUUAUCAGGUUUUGGGGCUUUUUUCAUGGCAGCAGUGCUGAUGUCUGGGUGUCAGCGUUUGGAUAUGUGGGAAACGAGGUAAGAGCCUAAAUAAUACAUGUUACUUGCGGGGCUGGAAACUAGAGCCAUAUCCUAUGGCCUUCUAAUUAAAACUCUUUAUUUCCACAGAUUUAUUCUGUGGGCCUUACUAAAUAGAUCAGCCUGGGGUUUCUAAUGGUGACUACUUGAGGAGGAAUGUCGCCUUUGUUCCCCUGAAUGGUGGGGAGCAGAUUACCGGGCUGCCAAUUUCCUGCUGCCUUUCAGAGCUGCAAUUUGAGCCCUAUUUGCUCCUGGCUCUUGCACAAUUGGAAACAAUGGGUGGCUUCUUUCAGGUUUCACUUCAGAGCUCUUAGAAACUGGGGAAGUGGCAAAAGCCCUACUUUACAGAGCUGAUAAAGGUAGAAGUACACACCGAGCUCCCAAUACAGAACCCGCACGGGCAGUUUUGUGGAUGCAGUCCCGGCCACAACCCCAGCAAGGUGAUGGUGUGGGUCAAAGCUCCAAGCAAAGGCAGGGAAAGCCACACCAGAAGAGCUGCUGGGCUGCCAGCAAUGCUGAGGGCCCCGCUCCAUUCCUUGCUGAUGAUUUAGGAAGACAGAGAAGAUCUGAAUGAACAAGGAACACGCCCAUCACCUUUCCCACUUGUAAGUCUGCAAGUGCUUCUGUGAGAUGCCAACGCAAAGGGUUCCUCUGGCUCUUCUGUGCUUAUGGACAAUGCAGUUCUAUAAUAUAAUAAAACAAUAAUGAAAAUGUCU